UCUGAAGAGGAUUUGUUUUGGUCGCAACAUCAGCUGUCGGCUCAUGGGCGUAUUUCUGGUGACCUGCUGUUCAACAUUUUUGUUGAUUCUUUGAGGAACUCUUGUGACAGCAACUUACUUUAUAUAGUGGACUUCAGAGGCAAACCUCAUUGAUGAUGAUAUUAAGAAGAUGGUAGUGUGGCGCCGCAUAAAGAAUGGCAUGUCUGUGAUUUUGCUGUUGGCAUUUAUUUUUUAUGUUGGUUAUUGUACAAAAGAACUGUACACCCGCAUAUUAAACAACCGUAAAUACGGUCGCCUCAUAGAAUAUGAAAAGGAGAUUGAUGCCCUGACCAACAUGCUGGGGGAUUACAAGAAAGACGCCAACAAAGUGCAGCGAAGCCUCCAGCUCUUACGUGAGGCUCUUGACCAGGUGGUAGUAAACAGAAGACCAAAAAGUAUUAGUGAUAGAUGAUGUCUGUUGAUAAACCCAGAUGAGGUUACCUGAAGAUCUGUAUACUAGGGAUAAUAUUUUUAGGUGUAGUAUGUGCUUGUCUUUAGCUCUAUACAGAUGAGGGUAUAAUUCAGACUCAGGAUAGUGAGACAGGAGUGUGAACUCUCUCAUUUAUCUUCUUUCUGCCAAAAUCUUUGUUUACUAAAAUAAUAACUUCUUUCAUCAGCAUGGCAUUAUUGCAAAUGCUGGGAUAUGGCAAGUCCUUCUUUCUUAUCUUUUACAUUUCUGUUCAUUCUUCCUGUCCUCCAUCUUUGGAUAUUUGGCAAUCUACUUGUCUUUUAUUUCAAAACUCAAGCAUGUAAAUGUCAAAUUAAAGGCCACAAUGAGAUAUUAAUGGGGAAUAUGGGAAAGGAUUCCCAGUCUUUGUUUUUUCUGUGGCUAUUCAAAUUAAUGAUCACAAUGAGAUAUUAAUGGGGAAUAUGAUAAAGGAUUCCCUGACUGUUUUUUUCUCUGUGGAUAUUUCUACUGUGUAAUUAAAUUAAAUUGGUGCACAAAGUUAGAAAUAGUGGUCUGUAGAUUGUCAGCUGUAGAUUUAGAAAAAUAUUGAUAUUAGCAAUCUUCCUAAAUUUGUUGAUAUUUUUUUAGGAAAUUAAAUUGUUUAUUAGUGCUUUUCCAUAAUGAGGUUUAUGGUUAGAGCCUUCUGUGAUAGAAACUUUUGUAGAUGACACAGUUGAUGAUUUGUCACUGUUCCCAUAGAUAUAAAAUGUAUGGGAGACUUUAUAUAUAUCUAACUAACACACUUGUAGAUUCCUUUUAGGAUUAAGUUAUGCCUGGUUAUUAAUUCUGUAUCGUAUAGUGAUUUAACAGUAUAUGUCUUUCUUUGAAGAGGAUUCAGUAUAUUUAAAGUAACCAAAUCCUCCUUUUUCCCAGUAUCAAGUUAUCUAUGAUACAUCUGACCUGCACUUGACUAGAUCUCUCCAUGGUUUAGCAGGUUACGGUAAUGAUGGCAUCAACCUUAUCCUAUGUAUGUAAUUAAGGCUUAUAUUUAUUAGCAGUUUCAUUUAUACUGAGAUUACCCCUUUGAGUGCGGCUCUUAGUUUAUAUUUGGCAUGAUUGAGAGAGAAGUGUGAGCUUCAGUUUGUACUACUUAUAAGGUGCAUUUAUAUUUGAAUACUUUGAUAUGCCAGUAUCAUGAGAAAAAAUUCAAAAUCCCCUUGUAUCCAGUCAUCCAUCAGAGUGUAACAAAUAUCCUACUUUUGUAGAGUUCCUGGUUCUUCCUUAAUUUUUGUUACAUGUUUGCAUAUUACAGUUAUGUAGUAAAAAUCAAAGCCUGCUAUAGUACUCCAUAUACCCAUCAUUAUUUGUAUAUGAUUAGAUGCACGUAAAGGUGUUUCUCAUAUAUAUAUUCCAAGCUUAUAUGGGGGAAGUUUUUAUAUUUGUGCAUCUUGCAUACACUUAUUGUGGUACUUAAAGACUUGAUCAACUUUUUAUCUAAAAUAUUGUUACUUUGAUUAAUGAAGGGAAAAUGGAAUUACCAUGCCUUUGGACAAUUAUUCUUCAAAAUGUAAUUUUAUUUGUUUUUCCCCAGAAGCCAUGUUUUCUAUUUACAUAUUGUUUAAACUUUGUUCCCCUAGAUUAGUUUUUUCCCAAAGUAUUGUCAUUUCAUUGUAGUAAAUACUAGGUUUUCAUUUGUAGAAAGACAGGUAUUUCUCACAAAAGAAGCAACUAUUUUUAGGAACUGCUUGUUUACAAUGUAGAUUUUGAUAAAUUAACAAUGCAGCUAUUCAUAGUCUAGAACAUAAUGUAUUUUGUUGUAGUGAGAUCCCCCCCCCCCCACAGACACACAUCCCAAAAAAAAGGUAGCAACAAUGCAUGAUUAAAAAAUUAAAGACUGAUAUCUUUUGCUACUGAUGAUUCAUCUGGUACUUUUAAUUUAUAGUAUUUGACUUAUACAAUUUGUUAAACACUCUGUAUAUAGUUUAUCAGUACAAGGCAUCUCUAGAAUUCCAAAAUGAAGUUAGUUAUUGUUAUAUAUAUACCCUGUGGUGUAGCUGAAGGGGUGUAGGGCAAUUUUUCAUUCCCCACCCCUCAUACCCCUGAUGUAAGGGACGAGGACUAAUUCUUU